rnacentral:rRNA from 1 species
GAUGAACGCUGGCGGCGUGCCUAAUACAUGCAAGUCGAGCGAACAGACGAGGAGCUUGCUCCUCUGACGUUAGCGGCGGACGGGUGAGUAACACGUGGAUAACCUACCUAUAAGACUGGGAUAACUUCGGGAAACCGGAGCUAAUACCGGAUAAUAUUUUGAACCGCAUGGUUCAAAAGUGAAAGACGGUUUUGCUGUCACUUAUAGAUGGAUCCGCGCCGCAUUAGCUAGUUGGUAAGGUAACGGCUUACCAAGGCAACGAUGCAUAGCCGACCUGAGAGGGUGAUCGGCCACACUGGAACUGAGACACGGUCCAGACUCCUACGGGAGGCAGCAGUAGGGAAUCUUCCGCAAUGGGCGAAAGCCUGACGGAGCAACGCCGCGUGAGUGAUGAAGGUCUUCGGAUCGUAAAACUCUGUUAUUAGGGAAGAACAUAUGUGUAAGUAACUGUGCACAUCUUGACGGUACCUAAUCAGAAAGCCACGGCUAACUACGUG